CCAAUAGCGUAUAUUAAAGUUGUUGUGGUUAAAAAGCUCGUAGUUGAACCUUGGGCCUGGCUGGCCGGUCCGCCUCACCGCGUGUACUGGUCCGGCCGGGCCUUUCCCUCUGUGGAACCUCAUGCCCUUCACUGGGUGUGACGGGGAAGCAGGACUUUUACUGUGAAAAAAUUAGAGUGCUCCAAGCAGGCCUAUGCUCGAAUACAUUAGCAUGGAAUAAUAAAAUAGGACGUGCGGUUCUAUUUUGUUGGUUUCUAGGACCGCCGUAAUGAUUAAUAGGGACAGUCGGGGGCAUCAGUAUUCAAUUGUCAGAGGUGAAAUUCUUGGAUUUAUUGAAGACUAACUACUGCGAAAGCAUUUGCCAAGGAUGUUUUCAUUAAUCAGGAACGAAAGUUAGGGGAUCGAAGACGAUCAGAUACCGUCGUAGUUCUAACCAUAAACGAUGCCAACCAGCGAUUAGCCUGAGUUCCUUAAAUGACUCGGCUAGCAGCUUCCG
rnacentral:misc_RNA from 1 species